rnacentral:rRNA from 1 species
UACGUAGGUGGCGAGCGUUGUCCGGAUUUACUGGGCGUAAAGGGAGCGUAGGCGGACUUUUAAGUGAGAUGUGAAAUACUCGGGCUCAACUUGAGUGCUGCAUUUCAAACUGGAAGUCUAGAGUGCAGGAGAGGAGAAUGGAAUUCCUAGUGUAGCGGUGAAAUGCGUAGAGAUUAGGAAGAACACCAGUGGCGAAGGCGAUUCUCUGAACCGUAACUGACGCUGAGGCUCGAAAGCGUGGGGAGCAAACAGG